AGAGACCCUGCCCAGCCCCAUCUGGGUCUAAUUUAAUCUCAGAAGAGGGGUUUUCUCUUUUUUUUGUGAAGGGCUAGAGGUGGUUUUCUCCAUACAUAUCUCCUGAACUUUCUUCUGUGUUUCUGAGGUGAUGUUUGGACCUGAUACAGCGUGCUAAUCAUUGAGUUUCAAGGGAGCCUACUGCUUUUGCCAGCCCCCCAGUGUCUUCACUAUCAAGCAUUAAAAACCCACGGAAUGACUUUCCCUUUGGGACAACGUGAUAAGAUGCUGCCAUCUGCAGAUUCACCCCAUCCGCACUGCUAAAUGAAAAAGUUUUUGCGUUUCUGGUGUCUGUGUGGAGGACUCAGCAAGCAAACAGCGUGUCCUGGCAGGCAACAUCUGUGCUCUGCACCUGCUGGAAGAUAGUCAGAGAGAAGAAAAGCAGUGGAUUUACAGUCCCACGGAGAAGGUUGUAAACUCUUAUCGGGGUGCUUAUAGAAGGACAUUAUCACAUUGGAGAAGCAGAGGCACUUGAAAACAACCUUCAGAUCUGCAGCCUUCAGGAGGUUUUUUUCUCUUUCUGGAAGCCAGUUUUUUGUAACACUCAUAUUUUUAUAUAGUAAAUUGUUUUUUUCUAUUUUGUUUUAUUUUAUAGAUGGUCAUUGCAGAUAUGGUGGUGGCCAAGUAGAAUACUGGCUAACAGCUUUGCAAAUAGUAAUUCUAACCCUGAACUGAUUGAAAUCCAGUUGUAUCAAAAGUUUUUGGUAGAUACAUAGAGAAAUGAAAACACUUGAUGGUGUAUGAACGCUGUAAAGUUUUAGUCUAGGCUAGUUCAAUGUGCAUGAGCCUUAAUUAAGUGUGCUAUGGCUGAAAGACAGUGCAAUUGCACUGCAUAGCCUGAUCUGGGAGGUUUUCAGUCUCAACCUAGGUUUUACUGGCCCUGCUUCCACACUACCAAAAACGAAGUCACUGUGCUUUCCACAUUUCUUUUUCACUGACAGUAAAAGAAUAAAGGGUGAGACAUUAGGGCUGGGCCAUCCAGUGAUGUGGAUUGAUUGAACUGUCAGUUCUGGCAGCAAGAUAAAGAGCUGGUAGGAAGAAUGCAGUUAUUUGUGGUGUAUCCCUGCUCUAGCAGUAGAGGGGUCUGCUAGUCAUGGUGAGAAUCUGGAGCAAUUCAUGUGAAUGACACGCCAGUCAUCUGCCUACAUACGUUUUCUGAAUAUUAGUAGUAAUUAAUCUCCCUGUUAGUCGAGUGCAGUGAGCAUCCUCAUUAAAGCAUUUGUCUCAUCACUGUUAUGGAGUAGUUUAUAUUUCAUUCAUGAGAGAUAGUAGAAAGAUAUCUGAAUGCUCAUCUUCAAGGAUAAUGCUCAAGAUAGUCAGGAGAUUCCUCCCUGUCGCACAAGUAAGGAAGAGAGGAAAAUAGUCUUAGCUUCAAAAAUAGUAGCAACUUGUGCAGCUGCUUGCUUUACUUAUUUUGAAAUUAAAAAGUGAACAAGUGAAGUAUAAAAAAGACUUCCCUUGAGUAUGUUGCCAUACUGUUGUAAAGAACAUGAAUAUAUAAAAUCAUUAAUGGAACACUAUGAAAUGCCCACAUUUGCUAGUAAAAUGUAGUGCUCCAUUUGUUCACCACUAUAAAGUCAAAUCAUAAAGCAUUUGUGCCCAUAUAGUUCAAUACCUGCAUGAUGUGGCAUCAUGAAUUUUCUUUUAAUAAAUCAUUUAACGUGGUAACACAGAGGAUUUUCAUUAAUAUCUGUCUGUCAUGUUUAGGAAGAGUCUUAAGAUGUGAAUGUUUUACAGAUGAGUCUAAAAAGGGUUGUCCUUUGACCAGUAAUUAAAAUAUUAGUCCAUUAAAAUUGAUAAGAUAUUGAAAUUCCAGCAGUUGUAAAAAGCUUGUAUCACUUCUUAUCUCUUGCUUGAAAGAGCUGAAAAAAAUUAUCUGUUAAAAACAAUAGUUUUUCUCUGCAGAAGCCAUUUGGCAUCUCUCCUCUGUAUGGUUUUCCCCUAAUGUUUCAGUUCUAACUUUCGAUCCUGUAAAAGUUAAUAUUGUCUAUUAGUUUAACUUUCACCAGGUAAAUUGGAAUUCUUUAUAAACCACGUAAACCAAAC
rnacentral:lncRNA from 7 species